GACAGAGGGGGCAAGCGUUGCUCGGAAUCACUGGGCGUAAAGGGCGCGUAGGCGGGAUGGCAAGUCGGUCGUGAAAUCCUUCGGCUCAACCGAAGAACGUCGGCCGAUACUGCCGUUCUUGAGGGAUGCAGAGGAGAUUGGAAUUCCCGGUGUAGCGGUGAAAUGUGUAGAGAUCGGGAGGAACACCGGUGGCGAAGGCGACAUCCUGGACCGGUAUUGACGCUGAGGCGCGAAAGCCAGGGGAGCAAACGGG
rnacentral:rRNA from 1 species